rnacentral:rRNA from 1 species
CGAGAAAGCCCGCAAGGGUGAGUACAGCGGCGCACGGGUGCGUAACACGUGGGUAAUCUGCCCUGAAGCCCGGAAUAACUCCCCGAAAGGGGUGCUAAUACCGGAUAAGACCACGGGAGCUUCGGCUCCUGCGGGAAAAGGUGGCCUCUGCAUGCAAGCUAUCACUUCAGGAUGAGCCCGCGGCCCAUCAGCUAGUUGGCGGGGUAACGGCCCACCAAGGCUACGACGGGUAGCUGGUCUGAGAGGACGAUCAGCCACACUGGAACUGAGACACGGUCCAGACUCCUACGGGAGGCAGCAGUGGGGAAUCUUGCGCAAUGGGCGAAAGCCUGACGCAGCAACGCCGCGUGUGUGAUGAAGGUCUUCGGAUCGUAAAGCACUGUCGCGAGGGACG